rnacentral:rRNA from 1 species
GAUGAACGCUAGCGGCAGGCUUAAUACAUGCAAGUCGUGGGGCAGCAGGUCUGUAGCAAUACAGAUGCUGGCGACCGGCAAACGGGUGCGGAACACGUACACAACCUUCCUUUAAGUGGGGAAUAUCCCAGAGAAAUUUGGAUUAAUACCCCGUAACAUAAUGAAGUGGCAUCACUUUAUUAUUAUAGCUCCGGCGCUUAAAGAUGGGUGUGCAGCUGAUUAGAUAGUUGGCGGGGUAACGGCCCACCAGGUCGACGAUCAGUAACUGGUGUGAGAGCACGACCAGUCACACGGGCACUGAGACACGGGCCCGACUCCUACGGGAGGCAGCAGUAAGGAAUAUUGGUCAAUGGACGCAAGUCUGAACCAGCCAUGCCGCGUGGAGGAUGAAGGUCCUCUGGAUUGUAAACUUCUUUUAUUUGGGAAGAAAUCUAUCUUUUCUUGGAUAGUUGACGGUACCAGAUGAAUAAGCACCGGCUAACUCCGUGCCAGCCGCCGCUGUAAAAC